rnacentral:rRNA from 1 species
AACGAACGCUGGCGGCAGGCUUAACACAUGCAAGUCGAACGCAUCCUUCGGGGUGAGUGGCAGACGGGUGAGUAACGCGUGGGAACGUGCCCUUCAGUUCGGGAUAACCCAGGGAAACUUGGGCUAAUACCGGAUACGUGCGAGAGCAGACAGAUUUAUCGCUGAAGGAUCGGCCCGCGUCUGAUUAGCUAGUUGGUGGGGUAAUGGCCCACCAAGGCGACGAUCAGUAGCUGGUCUGAGAGGAUGAUCAGCCACAUUGGGACUGAGACACGGCCCAAACUCCUACGGGAGGCAGCAGUGGGGAAUAUUGGACAAUGGGCGCAAGCCUGAUCCAGCCAUGCCGCGUGAGGGAUGACGGCCUUCGGGUUGUAAACCUCUUUUAGUAGGGAAGAAGCGAAAGUGACGGUACCUGCAGAAAAAGCACCGGCUAACUACGUGCCAGCCGCCGCCGUAA